ensembl:lncRNA
GUGUGUUGAAUAUUCUAGAAUGUAAAUGGAAGCGUGUUGAAUAUUCUAGAAUGUAAAUGGAAGCCUGUUGAAUAUUCUAGAAUGCAAAUGGAAGCGUGUUGAAUAUUCUAGAAUGCAAAUGGUUGUUUGUUGAAUAUUCUGGAUUGUAAAUGGAAACGUGUUGAAUAUUCUAGAAUGUAAAUAGUUGUGUGUUGAAUAUCCUUGAAUGUAAAUGGUUGUGUGCUAAAUAUUCUAGAAUGUAAAUAGAAUGUGUUUAAUAUUUUUAUUGUAUUCUAGCUGUUAGCUUUGUAUAGUCCGGUGUUUAUUACAGCAGUUACCACCCUACAACUUCUCCCUAACUGCAGGACAAUGAAAAUCAGAUGACAGUGAUCCAGUGCUCAGCUAAUCAGCUAGUCCUAAAUGUAAUAUAAUCUUUAACAGAUUUUUAAAGAAUCUCAUUUAUUUCUACAAGGCCCCAUUUGAUCUGCUGCCAUCUUGAUCCUCAUUUCACCUUAUUUUCUUUUAUCCUUUACUUUAAAGCCUGCGCACUUUUACUGUAACUCAGACCUCUGACUCUGGGGCUUGUUCUGUUUUAAUGAAUGUAUGAAUAUAUGAAUAAAUAAAUCGUUCCAUUUCAGCGCCUUCCAAUAGCCGCUAAGAAGUGUGAUGGCUUUGUGAUUUAUGGGACAUUUGUCUUCUGGUGUGAACCCUUGAAAAGGGGCGUGAUCGAGUGCAGAUUCCCAUUACUGAGCAGUUUCUUCAGGGAGCGAUGAAUAAAUGCAGCGUUUAACCUUUAUUUAAACUUAGUUCCUCCCUCUAGGCUUAACUGCACUCAUCACUACUGAGCCAGCAGACCUUCAUCUAACCUUUAUCUACAAGAUCAAGAGAGCAUUUUAUAAUUAACUUGUUUCGCAGGUUUAACAUAAAAUAAAAAGUCAUUAAAAAAAUUUGCAUUUUUUUUUGUAUAAGAGGAAUAAAACACUUCCGCGCAUGCCGUUACAAGAAAAUAAUCACCUUCAGGGGUGUAUCAGUAACUCUGCUUCAUCGCACCACCACGUCAUUCUUUUUUUUUUUCCUAUAACAGCGUGACAGUGUUUUGUUAUUAUUUACAUAAUCGUUAUCGCUGUACAAUCUUCGCACCACUGAAUAUGCAAAUUCCGAAUAUGCAAAUGAGCACAGAAAGCAAUGUCACAGUGGAGCUCUCUGAAAUUUCUGUGUUGCCAACUGGUAAUUAUGAGUUUGAUGGAGAUGGGAACGGUUUGUUUAAGUUUAAAAUAAUGACUGUAAAUUAUGCAGUUUCAUUAAAUAUUGCACCAACUAUUAUAACAAUGCUAACCAUUCACAAAUCAACCCGACUGAAUGGGCUAACCUUCCAGGACAAGCCAUUACCAAAAACAUCCGGUGUGCUUUUAAUAUAACCGUAAUCACAGUACUUUUAAUAAUGUAUAUAAAAUAUAAUGUUUUGUGCAUAUCAUGUACCAUACUCAGAGUACAGCCACGAGCUGUGUGACAAACUUAUAAGGAAAGAUCCCAGUACAGGAUCUGCGCUUCUGGCUUUUACAUCCUCAUAAACACAAUGGUACAGGAUCUGAAUGGCUGAAUCUACAUAGAUAUAGAUAUCUAGCUAUUACCUUCAGACAUUUAAUGAAUGUGGACAGUACAGAGGACCAUAAUGGUGGUUAUGAAAGAUACCGAUCCAGCCAAUUUGGAGUCCACAAAUGGAAGGGGAUCAUAAGUUUUAAUCGACUAGACACAUAACGCGGGCGAUAAAAUGAAAGCUGUUAAAAGAAAUCAGAUCAUAUUGCAGCCAGUAAAAUGGCUUUUCAAUCAAGCUGUGCGGCUAUUCUGCUUUUCCGACUUGUGUGUUUGGUUGGAUUGUUGUAAGAUGUGUGCAGGAUAUGAUGCUGUCACAUGACACAAAUUAUAUGAUCAAUUGCAGCAAGUUACCUGACAAAAACAUACGUUUGUCG